rnacentral:lncRNA from 1 species
CUUUUGUCUUUUUUAGGGCUGCACCCACAGCAUAUGGAGGUUCCCAGGCUAGGGGUCCAAUCGGAGCUGUUGCUGCCAACCUGUAGAGCCACUGCAAUACCAGAUCCAAGCCGCAACCUACACCACAGCUCACGGCAACGCCAGAUCCUUAACCCACUGAGUGAGGCCAGGGAUCAAACCUGCAACCUCAUGGUUCCUAGUCAGAUUCGUUUCUGCUGCACCACAACGGGAACUCCAAGAGGCACAUUUUCUAUUUCUAUUUCUCUUUUUGCUUUUUAUGGCUGCACAUGUGGCAUAUGGAGGUUCCCAGGCUAGGGGUCAAAUCAGAGCUGCAGCUGCUGGCCUACACCACAGUCACAGCAAUGCAGGAUCCAAGCUGUAUCUGCAACCUACACCACAGCUCGAGUCAACACUGAAUCCUUAACCCACUGAGGGGCGCCAGGGAUUGAACCUGCAUCCUCAUGGAUACUAGUUGGGUUUGUUAUCACUGAGCCACAAGAAGAACCCUAAUUUCUCUUUUUCUAAAGAUAGUUUUUUUUGGCUGUGCCUGUAGCAUAUGGAAAUUCCUGGGCCAAGGAUCAAACCUGUGUCACAGUAGCAAUUUGAGCCACAGCAGUGACAAUACUGGAUACUUAACCCACUGAGCCACAAGGGAACUCCUCUAAAGCCAUUUUUUAAAUUCAGGGACCCCAAAUUUCUUGUGAGUACUCUGUUUACCUGGUGGAAAAACUGGAGGGGAGGACAAUUUUGCUCCUGUGAAAAACACUGAGAAAAUGCAGAGCAAAACACUGGAUAAAACGUGAGGACAUAGAUCUGCUUCACCAACCUCCAUGAGAGCAAAACACAUUCUCUGAUUUACUUUAUAUAAUCACAAACUCCAAGCAUGAAAUAUAAUAACAAAACAGUAUUAUGGAGGACUAUGUGUUUAUGCAAGGGAACCAUAGCUGGGUUUAGAAAAAAGAUAGUUUAAAAUUCACUUUCUUAACAUAUGUGCUGCCUGUGUAUCUUAGAAACACAUUUAUUUACUGUAUAAACAAUGCUGUAUUUUUUUAAAGUUUACUGUUAUAUAUUAUUAUCUAAUAAGUAGUAACACUAGUGGAGAUUAUAUUUCUCUUAUUUCUACACAAUAAUCCAAAACAUUCCACAUGAGAAAAAGUUGGUGAGUUUGUGGUUGUGAAUGUUCCCAAACGUCACCAUGAUUUGACUGUUUUUACAAAGUCAGAGAAAUUGGACUAUUGUUUUUCCACUUGUCUCAACUUCCAGGCUUGCUAUCUGACAGAUCAAUGGCCCAAGUCACUUUAGUAUGGCCUUCUGGGAUGAUUCUUUUAUUUUUAUUUAUUUAUUUAUUUUUAUUUUUUAGGGCCACACCUGCAGCAUGUGGAAGUUCCUGGGACUAGGGAUCAAACUGGAGGAGCUGCAGCUGUCAGCCUGCGUUACAGCCACAGCAACAUGGGAUCCCAGCUGCAUCUUUGACCUACAUCAUAGCUCAUGGCAACGCUGGAUCCUUAACCCAUUGAGUGAUGAACACAAGAGUUGGUGAGGGAGGGAGUUCCCUGGUGGCUUAGUGGUAAAGGAUCUGAUGUCUCUGCUAUGGUUCGAGUCACUGCUGUGGUGUGGGUUUGAUCCCUGACCUGGGAAUUACCACAUGUCAUGGGCAUGCCCCAUCCCCUCAAAAAAAAAAAUCAAUCAUAUAUAUGUGUGUGUAUACACACACACACACACACACACACACACCAUUGUUAUGUACCAAAGAGCAGUAUAACAUAGUGGUGAGGAGUUCCUGUUGUGUCUCAGUGGUAAUGAACCCGACUAGCAUCCAUGAGGACAAAUGUUCGAUCCUGGCCUUGCUCAGUGGGUUAAGGAUCUGGUGUUGCCCCGAGCUGUGCUGUAGGUCACAGAUGAGGCUUGAAUCCUGUGUGGCUGUGGCUAUGGUAUAGUCUGGCAGCUGCAGCUCCAAUUCGACCCCUAACCUGGGAAUUUCCAUAUGCCACUGGUGCGCCCCUAAAAAGCAAAAAAACAAAAACAAAAAACAAAAAACAAAAACACGUUGAGCAAAAGUAGUCAGACAUAAUAAUGCACACUAUAUGAGUCCAUUUAUAUGAUAAUCUGGAACUGAAAUAAACUAAUGUAUAAUACAGUGAAAUAAAGAUGGCCCAGUUCUUUAAAAAAAAAAAAAUCAACAACAACGAGGACAACCCCCGCCUCCCCUGAAAAAACCCACAGUGGUGAAAGACUUGAGUUUUGGAGUCACACAGACCUGAUUUCUACUUCCAGGCCCAGCACUUACUUCUUAGACCAACAAAAUUAUUUUCAGUCUACUGAAAAGACUUAAAAAUAUGGUACAAGUUUCAAAGUGUUUAAAAUUGUGUCUUCAUGAAUUAUUCAUAUUCAUUCCCAAUGCUCUUCCAGCAAUACCUGUGUUUCUUUCUGCCCUGCUAACCAGCCAAGCUCAGAUCUCUCAAUGCUUCCCCCACACUGGCUACUAGAACACUCUAUUGGAGUUCAAAGUCCUUAACCUCAGUGCCUAAUCCUUCUACCUACUACUAUCUAAACAUCUUGCAGCUGCUGCCUGUCCAAUUCCUAUUUACUCUGUCAUAAGAACAUGUGAAUUUCAACCACUAGUUGAUGUGAGUGGUGGUGAUGCGCUCCUGAUCUCAACCCCACAGCCUAAGUCCUUCCUCUUAACCGCACACGCUCUGAGCAUCAGGACCACUUUCUCUUGGGCCUUCAAAGACCAGUCUUUUUCUCAAAGCAUCUGCUAAAGGCAGAUGAUUGAAUUUCAAUAUCUCCAGUGUCCAAAUUAAUGAAUUAAUUAAUGAAUUAAUUAUUCAGUAUGGUGCCCACAUUAAUGAAGUGUUAUUCUACACUGAAUAUAUCCAUUACUAAUUAUACCUUGAACAUGUACAUAGUUAGUUACCUUAAAAUGAUUACUAUUAUGUGAAGAGUUUUCAUUUUAUGAAAACUCUCCAUAUCCUAUAUCGUUUUAACAAUUUAUUUUAUUUUUAUUUUAUUUUUUUUACUUUGUCUUUUGUCCUUUUUAGGGCCACACCCGCCGCAUAUGGAUGUUUCCAGGCUAGGGGUCGAAUCAGAACAGUGGCUGCUGGCCUACGCCACGUCCAAGCCACGUCUGUGACCUACAUCUCAGCUCGCAGCAAUGCCGGAUCCUUAAUCCACUGAGCAAGGCCGGGGAUCGAACCCGAAACCUCAUGGUUCUUAGACUCAUUUCCGCUGCACCACAACGGGAACUCCUUAUUUUUAUUUUUUUGUCUUUUGUCUUUUUAGGGCCACACCCAUGGCAUAUGGAGGUUCCCAGGCUAGGCGUUGAAUCGGAGCUGCAGCCACUGGCCUACACCACAGCCACAGCAAUGUGGGAUCCGAGUCACAUCUGUGACCUACAUAUCAGCUCACAGCAACCCUGGAUCCUAAACCCACUGAGCAAGGCCAGGGAUCGAACC